GACCACCAGUGGCGAAGGCGUCAGACUGGAACGCGCCUGACGGUGAGGGACGAAAGCCAGGGGAGCGAACCGGAUUAGAUACCCGGGUAGUCCUGGCUGUAAACGAUGCAUACUAGGUUAUGGUGCGGCCAUGAGCCGUAUCAGAGCCGUAGGGAAACCGUUAAGUGUGCCGCCUGGGAAGUACGGUCGCAAGGCUAAAACUUAAAGGAAUUGACGGGGCCCUGCACAAGCGGUGGAUGAUGCGGUUUAAUUCGUUGCUACGCGAAGAACCUUACCUGGGCUUGACAUGUACGUGGUACGGAUCCGAAAGGUGAAGGACCGGGGUUUUCCCCGGAGCGUACACAGGUGCUGCACGGCUGUCGUCAGCUCGUGCCGUGAGGUGUUGGGUUAAGUCCCGCAACGAGCGCAACCCCCGCCGAUAGUUACCAUCAGGUCAUGCUGGGCACUCUAUUGGGACUGCCUGGGUUAACCAGGAGGAAGGUGGGGAUGACGUCAAGUCAUCGUGGCCUUUAUGCCCAGGGCUACACGCGUCAUACAGUGGCCGUUACAGCGGGCAGCUAAACCGUGAGGUCAUGCUAAUCCCUUAAAAGCGGCCAUGGUUCGGAUUGCAG
rnacentral:rRNA from 1 species